GGGUUCAGAACGUCGUGAGACAGUUCGGUCCCUAUCCGUCGUGGGCGUAGGAAAUUUGAGAGGAGCUGUCCUUAGUACGAGAGGACCGGGAUGGACAUACCUCUGGUGUACCAGUUGUCGUGCCAACGGCAUAGCUGGGUAGCUAUGUAUGGACGGGAUAAGUGCUGAAAGCAUCUAAGCAUGAAGCCCCCCUCAAGAUGAGAUUUCCCAACUUCGGUUAUAAGAUCCCUCGAAGAUGACGAGGUUAAUAGGUUCGAGGUGGAAGCGUGGUGACACGUGGAGCUGACGAAUACUAAUCGAUCGAAGACUUAAUCAA
rnacentral:rRNA from 1 species